AUCAUUUUAGUAAAAGUUAUAUUAUAUUAUCUUGAUAGGAUAAAGUUCGUUUUGAAAUGAUA
rnacentral:tRNA from 1 species